UACGGAGGGUGCAAACGUUGCUCGGAAUUAUUGGGCGUAAAGCGCACGUAGGCGGCCGGCCAAGUUGGAUGUGAAAGCCCUGGGCUCAACCCAGGACGUGCAUCCAAAACUGGUCGGCUUGAGUGCCGGAGGGGCCCAGAGAAUUCCCGGUGUAGAGGUGAAAUUCGUAGAUAUCGGGAGGAAUACCAGUGGCGAAGGCGCUGGGCUGGCCGGUUUACUGACGCUGAGGUGCGAAAGCGUGGGGAGCAAACAGG
rnacentral:rRNA from 1 species